CCUUUGAUCUUUCCGUCGCACUUGACGGGUACUUUGGGAUAGGUGCCGGGUAAUUGGCGGGGGGAAGGAAGGGGGCCGAGCGGCAGAUAAAUAAGGGAAGCCGCUGCGAAGGAGGCAGGAAGGCUCCUAAGGUAAGCACGCGCCCGCCCGCACUAGCGCUCGAAGGUAAUGCCCGCGCCUUAGCCCACGACCAGCUAGCUCCUCGAGGAAGCUAAGCCCCUAGCCGAAGACGCGCCCUAAGCCAAGGGUAGACGACGAUGUUUCCCACACGCCCCGCCCGGAGACUCCAGCAACGCUGACCUCCUCCGUUCCUCGGUACCCCCGCCCCCAGAGCUCGAAAAAGAAGCCGCGCCGCCGCCUCCGACGCGGCCCACGACGCCCGGACCCGCUGGACGGCCUCGAGACGCGGCGCGUCCACGACGAGGCGGAGCUGCGCGGCCUCUAGACGGCUGAGCGCGCGGAGUUGGUGCGCAAGGCGCCGCGGCGCCCCCGACUGAAGCACACCCUCCGGUUCGACGGCCUCUUGAUGGCGGUGGACUAGCCCAUGCAGCUCCCGCCCCCGCUCCUCCCGUCCGCGGCCGCCUCCGCCCGGCCCUGGUUCCUCUAGAUGCGGUCCGAGAGGUCCGGGCAGAGAAAGCUUCUGCCGUGGUUCCUUAAAACCGAUCUCUUCUCGUUUCCAUCCCAAACAUACCGCGAUAGGAGGUUUCGAGACCAGUAUUGACCGUAGCUACUGUCCUCUAUAACCUGUGUGUACGGCUGGUGUCUUAGCUCCAAGGUCAGGCACCGUAUGGAAGUCGUUUAGACCACCAAACUUCACCAACCCCUCGAGCUAAAGACGAAGGGACACCCUUGGAUGUCAAAUAUGAAGUCCCAAGUAGAACCCUUCAAGUCGUUCGCCAAACCUGCGGCACAAACGUCGUGGCUCGUGCAGGUGCCGACCUUGUUCUUCGGCCACGCGAAGGUCGAGAGGUGGAGCCUGCCGGUCUUACGUAAUAGAGUUACGAUGGACCUACUCGGGCCCUCGACCCAAGACAUGGUACGUCCGCUAAAACAAAGGUGUUUAGGGCCGGUCCGUGACUUCGACUUCAAGAGCUACCGCGUCUAACUGACGUGCGUGUGCUUUCCACCGGACACGCAGCUGAGCCACGAACACAUGGGGUUCCCGAAAGUCGUUCUCUUCCACCACUGGCCGUUCUAGAGUCUCUACGCUAGCAGCAUCAACAUCACCACCACGAACGUGACGAUCUCAACAUCUGUUUGCGUCGAACAUCGGGUUAGGAUAAUAGUUCAACCCGAGACCAUACGUUGCCUACUUUGCAGACACAUUUCUUGACAUCAGAGUCCCAGACACACCAGUCGAUGCAGGCUCUCACCAAACACACAGCAGGGGUACCCAUUAAAAAAAAGAGAGGGACCACGAUUUACUCUGAAACUACGAUGCCUACUUUGGCCAACACAACUUUACUCUAGUAUCCAAAACAAAGGUACAAGGAUCAAACACAAGGAACAGUCUUUGAAGACAAAAGAACGACGACAAUAGGAUCAAAGAAACCAUG
rnacentral:rRNA from 1 species